UGAAAUCAUUGAGAUUGUAAAUAUGAGAGAAAGCCCUCAUAAUUGAUAUUUUUCCUUCAACUUCAUUCCAUUUGGAAGUAACAAGUUUAGUUCAAAGGGUUGGACUAUUCAAUUCUUAGAAGUAAAGUAAUCUAAAAAUCAGUCAUCACAAUUGAAGAAUUUAACAAAAAAUAUCAAUUACAUAUCAUCUCAUACCAAUAUGUAAUCAAGUACAUAUGAAAUUACAUACUAUUGCUCAUUAUAAAGCUAAUCUUAUUUGGCACAAAAACAAUACAUUUUUUCAAGAAUCAAGCAUAUAUAAUAUAAAGAAACAAGAACAACCCAUUAAAUUCUUUAUAAACAUAUAUCAAUUUUAACCCAAAUAUAAAAACAUGAUGACCCCAAGCAAGUGAAAAUUUUCAACCCCAUUAAUGCAUUGCAAUUCAAUGCAACAUAAAUGCCACUAGAGAAGCUAACAAAGAAGAACACAAAGCUGCCACAGAAAUAGGCAAAGCAAACCCAGCUCCAUCUUGCAAUUGAGAUGUUGGUGCAAUCUCUGAAUCCUGUGCCAUAGUGUUGGUCAUGCAAAACAAGACCACAACCAUUAUUGCCAUAAAGAAUUUAGUUGAAUAGCCAACAAAUAAUGCCAUUACCAUAGAAUUAAUUAUUAGAUUAUUAUAAUAAAACUGACUAAAGAGUGACCCAAAAAUUUGG
rnacentral:lncRNA from 1 species